ACAACUUCCGGGCCACCAGGGGGCGCCAUUCUCACACAUUCCAGAGCAAACGGUGCUCCUUGGAGUUGAACGGCGCGACGGUCCUGCAGCAGCUAGCCUGGGAUGUACCCACAGCUCACCGGGGAGGCCGGGCCACACUUCAGCUGGAUCUUGAAUGAGAUGAAGACGGGGAGAAAGGGCCUUCCGGACAAAGGGCUUACGCCCUGGAUAAAGGGCGUGGAGGGGCGUGGCACGUUCAGUCUGGACACAGCAUAAAGCUCAUUGGAGAGAGGCGAGAGACAGGAUGGAAAGGAGGGUGGGAAGAGCUAUGAAGGGUCCCCAGGGCCUUGCUAACGCGUUUGGACUUUAUCCCGCGCCAGACAUUUUAAAGGUGGUUGGAGGGAGACUGACGAACUCAACUACCAGCCUGCAGUCGGCAGCCAUCAGCGGAUUGCAGGUACCCCGCGUGCG
rnacentral:lncRNA from 1 species